CUCUUUGCCUUUUACCUGCCUGUAGGUUGCCACAUGUAACCGUCUGUGAUGUAUAGCAGUCUGCUGCCCGCCUGCUCUGUGUUGUGGUUGAUUCCAAGGUUCCCAGUUUGGAGUAUAGUGAUGUCCUUUACAGAGCACCUUGUGUUAAGGUAUGAGAAGUUUAAUAAGCAACAAGUAGGUUAUGGUAACUACCUGAGAUUUGCACAUUGAUUACUUUUAUAAGCCUGUAGCUAAAAUGUGUGUUUUUAAUUGUAGGUUGUUAGCUGUUGUUUUGCCUUGGUUAAACUACGGUUUUAACAAUUGUUGCUUGUACACUGUGGCUGCAGUGCCUCCAGGUGGUGUUUUUUUCCUUUUUAGUGGUUGUAGUGGUCGGCUUGUGGUGGAGGCUAGGCACACUAGUGUGGGUCCCUUCACUGAUUGUAGUGUUAACAGCACUGGGGCACGAUUGGAUAGUGACACGAUUUGCACUGACUAAAGAUUGCAGUGGGAACACGCGGUGGGUAAGUUGGUGCACCCCUGGAGCACACCCUUAAUUGGAUUGCCUCUCCACAGCUGGCCCUGGCCCAACAUAUUUUUAUGCCAUGUUUUGACCUGGAAAAAUUUUAUUCACAACAAUAGGUGAGUAAAGCUUAGUCAUUAAUUGUUUAAUGUAAUUUAUUUGAUUAUAUAUUGGAAAAUAGUUCAAAUGCAAAUGUUGCCUUGAAGCAAAAUCAUACCAUUAUUAAAUCUUUAGGUUUAUUUACUGCUCAUAAAUGUAAGAGUCAACAUAAUUUUUUCUCAUUCUACAUUAAUCUAUUAAUUAUACAUUUGAUGUCAGUUGUAAUAACACUGCAAUACAAAUUACAAUGGAUAUUUUAACAGUACUUUGGUUCCAUCCCUGCAGGGCACAUGCUUAUGUUUUAAAUGCAUUAUUCUUCCAUUUCAAGAUGAAAACAGUUUUCUGUGGUUCUUCGAAGAAAGGGGCACUUCUAGUUCAUGGCAGUGAGGAUGAAUAAGGGUUUUGUAGUGAGGGAGGCAAUGAGCUGCUAAAAUUCCUGCAAGAAAAGAGACAUUACGGAUGAGUCUAAAAAUGCAGAUGAGGAUAAGAGUGAAGUGAUUGUUGCAUUUUGUUGACAUCCUAUGCUUUGUCAACUUCUAUAAGCACUGAGCCAAAGACGGCUGCAAGGCAACACCUAUCAGAAUGGUUGACAUUUAAAAUUGCAUUCAUUCCUAUAGGCGGUUUCACAAUAGUACAAUGUUGCCUGAGGGUAAUGUUCAGACUAACAAACCCAUGUAGAGUCUUUUAUUUUUGUUGUUUUCACAUUUAAAAUAACAUGCAUCUCAAACUGGUGAAGCUGUUGAACAUGUUCAUUUAGUAUUUUAAUCAAUUUUAUUCAAACUUUAAA